GAUGAACGCUGGCGGCGUGCCUAAUACAUGCAAGUCGAGCGAACAGACGAGGAGCUUGCUCCUCUGACGUUAGCGGCGGACGGGUGAGUAACACGUGGAUAACCUACCUAUAAGACUGGGAUAACUUCGGGAAACCGGAGCUAAUACCGGAUAAUAUAUUGAACCGCAUGGUUCAAUAGUGAAAGACGGUUUUGCUGUCACUUAUAGAUGGAUCCGCGCCGCAUUAGCUAGUUGGUAAGGUAACGGCUUACCAAGGCGACGAGGCGUAGCCGACCUGAGAGGGUGAUCGGCCACACUGGAACUGAGACACGGUCCAGACUCCUACGGGAGGCAGCAGUAGGGAAUCUUCCGCAAUGGGCGAAAGCCUGACGGAGCAACGCCGCGUGAGUGAUGAAGGUCUUCGGAUCGUAAAACGCUGUUAUGAGGGAAGAACAAAUGUGUAAGUAACUAUGCACGUCUUGACGGUACCUAAUCAGAAAGCCACGGCUAACUACGU
rnacentral:rRNA from 1 species